rnacentral:rRNA from 1 species
GACGAACGCUGGCGGCGUGCUUAACACAUGCAAGUCGAACGGAAAGGCCCUGCUUUUGUGGGGUGCUCGAGUGGCGAACGGGUGAGUAACACGUGAGUAACCUGCCCUUGACUUUGGGAUAACUUCAGGAAACUGGGGCUAAUACCGGAUAGGAGCUCCUGCUGCAUGGUGGGGGUUGGAAAGUUUCGGCGGUUGUGGAUGGACUCGCGGCUUAUCAGCUUGUUGGUGGGGUAGUGGCUUACCAAGGCUUUGACGGGUAGCCGGCCUGAGAGGGUGACCGGCCACAUUGGGCCUGAGAUACGGCCCAGACUCCUACGGGAGGCAGCAGUGGGGAAUAUUGCACAAUGGGCGAAAGCCUGAUGCAGCAACGCCGCGUGCGGGAUGACGGCCUUCGGGUUGUAAACCGCUUUCGCCUGUGACGAAGCGUGAGUGACGGUAAUGGGUAAAGAAGCACCGGCUAACUACGUG